AUUGAACGCUGGCGGCAUGCCUUACACAUGCAAGUCGAACGGUAACAGGUCUUCGGAUGCUGACGAGUGGCGAACGGGUGAGUAAUACAUCGGAACGUGCCUAGUAGUGGGGGAUAACUACUCGAAAGAGUGGCUAAUACCGCAUGAGAUCUACGGAUGAAAGCAGGGGAUCGCAAGACCUUGUGCUACUAGAGCGGCCGAUGGCAGAUUAGGUAGUUGGUGGGAUAAAAGCUUACCAAGCCGACGAUCUGUAGCUGGUCUGAGAGGACGAUCAGCCACACUGGGACUGAGACACGGCCCAGACUCCUACGGGAGGCAGCAGUGGGGAAUUUUGGACAAUGGGCGCAAGCCUGAUCCAGCAAUGCCGCGUGCAGGAUGAAGGCCUUCGGGUUGUAAACUGCUUUUGUACGGAACGAAAAGCCCUGGGUUAAUACCCUGGGGUCAUGACGGUACCGUAAGAAUAAGCACCGGCUAACUACGUGCCAGCAGCCGCCGCCGUAA
rnacentral:rRNA from 1 species